UAGCGCCCGCUCCUUUAUACCCUACCUUGCCCAGCCCACUAAAGUUGGGCAGCCGGCAAGGGUGCGGCCCACACCAAGUUGGCGGUUACUGGGAGAACGGGAGUCUGCAUGAGACUCCACCCACUGACGCUCGGUGGAAAAUUUGGGUUCUUUUCAGUUGGCAAGAUGGGUGCUUAGUUGUGAGGCUCAGAGAAGACUCAGGACCUCUUGAAAGAGUAACCUGACUCCCCACCGGGAAUAAGCAUGGUCUCCUUGGGACCCACAACUCUUAAACUUCCCCUUGGACAGAACAGGAAGCUGUUGUUUGGGAUCCUAAUUUUGAUUUGGAGAUGAAUGCUAACGGGUCUUCUCUGCUGCCUCUUCUUCCCAAAAUUAAUCUCAAUUGGUUUUUCCGGAUGUUUGCAAAAGAGGAAACCAAAGUGUCUUUUUUGUAGAUGAAUAAGAGACUGAGUUCCUCAGCUCCAAAGAGAAAAAGCAUUUUAUUCCUCCCAGCCAAAAUGCGUCUCUGGGUCACUGUGGACCUAUGUGGGAGUGCCUGGGGCAACUCCCUGUGGUGUGAAGAGGCCCUGGGCGAACCUGCUAACAAAAGUGAUUCAAAGAAGGCUUGACCAAAAAACGCAUUUUUUAGAGUUGAUCACUCAGUUUUGACCCCUCUGUGAUCUGGUAAGGCCCUGAGGAAGAAACUGAGACUCGGAGGAGGGUGGGAACAAAUCAGAAAGCCUGUGGAGUCCCGCCCCCAUGCAGCUCUCAGAUCCACUACACAGUGCUUCUCAACCUUCCUAAUGCCACGAACCUUUAAUACAGUCCACAGGGGUAGAGGCCCACAGGUUGAGAACCGCUGCACUACGCUUACUGGAGGCCACAGGUGGGGAAACUUCAUGUUGGAAGUCCACGUUAACUUCUCUGUUAUCAAAUAAGGCCACAGUCGAGAAACUUUAAUUUCAUAUACAGAUAGAGUCUCACUAUGUUGCCCUCUGUGGAGUGCUGUGAUGUCACAGCUCACAGCAACCUCAAACUCUUGGGCUUAAGCGAUUCUUCUGCCUCAGCCUCCCAAGUAGCUGGGACUGCAGGUGCCUGCCGCAACACCCAGAUGCAGAUGUCAUUGUUGGUUAGCUGGCCUGGGCCAGGUUCGAACCCACCAACUUCAGUGUAUGUGGCUGGCACUGUAACCACUGAGCCACGGGUGCCAAGCCAGCUCUUCAAGUUUCAUGUGAACGCCUUUAGGGAUGGGGAGGCUUGUGUCUUACUGCUGAGAGGAAGCUAAAGGAAAGCUUCAGAAAAGGUUUUUCCUGCCUCUUGACUGUUUUCCUCACACUGGUCUGAAUCACGCAUCAUUCACGCCCCAGGCACUGAGCUAGGUGAAAGAUGUUGAAAGAUAAACAACACCCCAUGCCCCUCAUUUGCGAGGUCUGAGCUACUGUUAGUCAGUGUGCCCUAGAAUUCCUGGGCAGCUUGGCUCACAGAAUCAACCCUUUUAUCACUUUAAUUUUGCAAAAUGGGUUGCAUUUAUAAAACUUUCCCUCCAAAUACGUCAACACACAAACAGUGAUCCAGACACAUUCAACAUCUCUGCUCUGUAUUCUUCCUGUCCAUGAGUACUGGGGUAAAGAUAUCUGAAAAAUUGGGGGCUAUCAAUCUAGACAUCUCAGAGUUUUGCACAAACUGUGUGGCUGUGGAUUUGGGCAGGACUGCUUCUGCCAGAGGGGUUUGGAAACAUCAGUAACACUGCUGUGGAGCGUAUCUUGUAUUAAAG